rnacentral:rRNA from 1 species
GACAGAGGGUGCAAACGUUGUUCGGAAUUACUGGGCGUAAAGCGAGUGUAGGCGGUUUGGUAAGUCGGAUGUGAAAGCCCCGGGCUCAACUCGGGAAGUGCACUCGAUACUGCCAAGCUAGAGUAUCGGAGAGGUUGGUGGAAUUCUCGGUGUAGAGGUGAAAUUCGUAGAUAUCGAGAGGAACACCGGUGGCGAAGGCGGCCAACUGGACGAAUACUGACGCUGAGACUCGAAAGCGUGGGGAGCAAACAGG